AGAGUCGAUCGGACAGUCGCUGUCUCUUUUUGUUCCGCAAAAAGGGAGGGAGGAAAGUCCGGGCUCCAUAGGGCGAAGUGCCAGGUAACGCCUGGGAGGCGCGAGCCUACGGAAAGUGCCACAGAAAAUAACCGCCUAAGCACUUCGGUGCCGGUAAGGGUGAAAAGGUGCGGUAAGAGCGCACCGCGCGGCUGGCAACAGUCCGUGGCUAGGUAAACCCCACUUGGAGCAAGACCAAAUAGGGAUCCAUCGGCGUGGCCCGCGCUGGAUCCGGGUAGGUUGCUAGAGGCAGUCAGCGAUGGCUGUCGUAGAGGAAUGGCUGUCCUCGACAGAACCCGGCUUACAGAUCGACUCUCCUC
rfam:Pseudomonas sp. BRH_c35 BRHa_1003799, whole genome shotgun sequence.